UACGGGGGGAGCAAGCGUUGUUCGGAUUUACUGGGCGUAAAGGGCGCGUAGGCGGCCAGCGCAAGUCAGUUGUGAAAUCUCCGGGCUUAACUCGGAACGGUCAACUGAUACUGCGCGGCUAGAGUGCAGAAGGGGCAACUGGAAUUCUCGGUGUAGCGGUGAAAUGCGUAGAUAUCGGGAAGAACACCCGUGGCGAAGGCGGUUCUCUGGGACGGUACUGACGCUGAGGCGCGACAGCGUGGGGAGCAAACAGG
rnacentral:rRNA from 1 species